rnacentral:rRNA from 1 species
GCAUAUCAAUAAGCGGAGGAAAAGAAACCAACAGGGAUUGCCUCAGUAACGGCGAGUGAAGCGGCAACAGCUCAAAUUUGAAAUCUGGCCGCAAGGUCCGAGUUGUAAUUUGUAGAGGAUGCUUUUGGCGAGGUGCCUUCCGAGUUCCCUGGAACGGGACGCCAUAGAGGGUGAGAGCCCCGUACGGUAGGACCACCAAGCCUCUGUAAAGCUCCUUCGACGAGUCGAGUAGUUUGGGAAUGCUGCUCUAAAUGGGAGGUGUACGUCUUCUAAAGCUAAAUACCGGCCAGAGACCGAUAGCGCACAAGUAGAGUGAUCGAAAGAUGAAAAGCACUUUGAAAAGAGGGUUAAAAAGUACGUGAAAUUGUUGAAAGGGAAGCAUUCAUGACCAGACUUGGGCUUGGUUGAACAUCCGGCGUUCUCGCCGGUGCACUCUGCCAGUCCAGGCCAGCAUCAGUUUGCCCCGGGGGAUAAAGGCGGCGGGAAUGUGGCUCCCUUCGGGGAGUGUUAUAGCCCGUCGUGUAAUGCCCUGGGGCGGACUGAGGAACGCGCUUCGGCACGGAUGCUGGCGUAAUGGUCAUCAAUGACCCGUCUUGAAACACGGACCAAGGAGUCGUCUUCGUAUGCGAGUGUUCGGGUGUCAAACCCCUACGCGUAAUGAAAGUGAACGUAGGUGAGAGCUUCGGCGCAUCACCGACCGAUCCUGAUGUUCUCGGAUGGAUUUGAGUAAGAGCAUACGGGGCCGGACCCGAAAGAAGGUGAACUAUGCCUGUAUAGGGUGAAGCCAGAGGAAACUCUGGUGGAGGCUCGCAGCGGUUCUGACGUGCAAAUCGAUCGUCAAAUAUGGGCAUGGGGGCGAAAGACUAAUCGAACCUUCUAGUAGCUGGUUUCCGCGA